AAUCAACGCUGGCGGCGUGCCUAACACAUGCAAGUCGCACGAGAAAGUGGAGCAAUCCAUGAGUAAAGUGGCGCACGGGUGAGUAACACGUGAAUAAUCUACCUCCGAGUGGGGAAUAACUGAGAGAAAUCUUAGCUAAUACCGCAUAACACUUACGAGUCAAAGCAGCAAUGCGCUUGGAGAGGAGUUCGCGGCCGAUUAGUUAGUUGGCGGGGUAAGU
rnacentral:rRNA from 1 species